GAGAGAGAGAAAGAGAGACAAGAAAGAAGAGGAAAAAAAGAAACACUUAAAAAAAAGGGUAGGAAACGAAGUACGUCCUAGGACAGAUGAAGAAAGCUCCCACUACUGUACAUAUCGGUGUUAUGGACCCAUGGCGGCGCGUCAUCUACACUUGUGAACGACGACGACGACGACGUGCCGGCCAGCAAAGAAGAUAAAUUAUAAAAGACAGGCAUUCUAGAUAAACUAUUGUAAUUUGUGAAAACGUUUGUAAUUAUCAAAGAAGAUAGUUCACAAAGGAAAGUUAUUUCGUAACGAGAAUAAUCAAAUUUACAAUCCAACAUAAAGGAAUGAAUUUAUCUUCGGACUAAAAAAAAAAAAAAAAGGGAAAAACAAA